rnacentral:rRNA from 1 species
GAUGAACGCUAGCGGCAGGCCUAAUACAUGCAAGUCGAACGGAUAUAUGUUUUCGGAAUAUAUAUUAGUGGCGCACGGGUGAGUAACACGUACAUAACUUGCCCUCAAGCGGGGGAUAGCCUUGGGAAACUGAGAGUAAUACCCCAUAGAAUUAGUUGGACGGCAUCGUUUGAUAAUUAAAACUACGGUGUUUGGGGAUAGAUGUGCGUCUGAUUAGCUAGUUGGUGAGGUAACUGCUCACCAAGGCGACGAUCAGUAGGGGGCGUGAGAGCGUGGCCCCCCACACGGGUACUGAGACACGGACCCGACUCCUACGGGAGGCAGCAGUAAGGAAUAUUGGUCAAUGGAGGGAACUCUGAACCAGCCAUGCCGCGUGAAGGAUGACGGCCCUCUGGGUUGUAAACUUCUUUUGGAUGGGGCGAAAAAACGGGAUUUAUCCUGGACUGACGGUACCAUCAGAAUAAGCACCGGCUAACUCCGUG